rnacentral:rRNA from 1 species
UACCAGCACCCCGAGUGGUCGGGACGAUUAUUGGGCCUAAAGCAUCCGUAGCCGGUUUUACAAGUCCUCCGUUAAGUCCAGCUGCUUAACAGAUGGGCUGCGGAGGAUACUAUAAGACUAGGAGGCAGGAGAGGCAAGCGGUACUCAGUGGGUAGGGGUAAAAUCCGUUGAUCCAUUGAAGACCACCAGUGGCGAAGGCGGCUUGCCCGAAUGCGCUCGACGGUGAGGGAUGAAAGCUGGGGGAGCAAACCGG